AGGGACAGCAUUAGGAGAUAUACCUAAUGCUAAAUGACGAGUUAAUGGGUGCAGCAAAACAACGUGGCACAUGGAUACAUAUGUAACAAACCUGCACGUUGUGCACGUGUACCCUAAAACCUAAAGUAUAAUAAUAAAAAAAAGAAAAAAAAAGAAUCAUGAUUUGAAAAAAUAAUGGUUAAACUAUGCAAAUUUGAUAAAAAUAUCAGUCUAUACAUACAAAAAGUUCAAUGAACUCCAAGUAAGAUAAACUAAAAUAGAUCCACACUGAAAUACAUCAUAAUCAAACUGUUGAAAACCAAAGACAAAUACGGAAUCUCAAAAACAGUAAGAGAGAAGCAACUCAUUAUACAGAAGAAAUCCUCAGUAAAAUUAUCAGCUGAUUUCUCAUCACAAACCAUGGAGGCCAAAGGCAGUGGGAUGACAAAGUGCUGAAAAAAAAAAAAAUACUGUAAGCCAAUAAUUUUGUAUCUUGCAGAAUUAUCCUUCAAAAGUGAAUGAGAAAUUAAUACACCUCCAAAUAAAUAAAAAUUGAGAUAGUUUGUCACUAUGACACCUGACCUACAUAAAAAAAAAUCUGAACUCAAUAACCUAACCUCCACCUUAAGUUACUAGAAAAAGAGGCGCAAACUAAGCCUAAAGCAAGCAGAAGAAAAGAAUAAUAAAGAUUAGAAUUGUGAUCAAUGGAAUAGAUAAUAGAGAAAAAAUCAGCAAAUCCUAAAGUUGGUUAUUUGAAAAGAUUAACAAAAUUGACAAACCUUUAGCUAGUCUGAUGAAGAGAAAUAAAAGACAGUAGUAAAGUUAUUAAAAAAUGAGAGAAGGGCAUUACCACCAAUUUUACAGAAAUACAAAAGGAUUUUAAGAGAAUAUAAUGAGCAACUAUAUACUAGCAAACUGGAUAACCUACAUAAAAUGGACAAAGUCCUAGAAAUAUAAAAACUACCAAAACUGACACUCAAGAUAAAAUAGAAUACAUGAACAGACUUAUAACAAGUAAUAUAUUGAGUCAGCAAUAAAAAACUUCUAACAAAGAAAAGUUCAGGACCAGAUGACUCCAUCAAUGGAUUCUACCAAACAUUUAAAGAAAAAUUAGCACCAAUCCUUCUCAAAAUCUUUCCAAAAAAUAGCAGAGGGAACGCUUUCUAACUCAUUCUGUGAGGUCAGUAUUAUCCUGACAUCUAAACCAGAAAAAGGUAUCACAAGAAAGGAAAGCUACAGGUUAAUAUCUCUUAUGAAUAUAAAUGCAAAAAUUAUAAAGAAAAUACUAGCAAACAGAAUCCAACAGCAUAUUAGAAGGGCUGGACAUUAUAGCUAAUGGGAAUUUAUCCCAGGAAUGCAAAGUUGGUUCAACAUAUGAAAGUCAAUCAAUGCAAUAUACCAUACUAAUAGAAUGAAGAGGGGAAAACCCAUGUGAUCAUCUCAAUAGAUAUAGAAAAAGCAUUUAACCAAAUCUCACAUCCUUUCGUGAUAAAAACAUUCAACAAACUAGAAAUAGAAGGGAACUUCCUCAACCUAAUAAAAGGCAUCUAUGAAAAACCCACAGCUAACAUCAUACUUAACUGUGAAAGACUGGAAGCUUUCCCUGUAAUAUCAGAAACAUGACAUGGAUGUUUUCUCUCACCACUUCUAUUCAACAUUUUACUAGAAAUUUUAGCCAGGGCAAUUAGGUGAGAAAGAGAGUGAAAAAUGAGAGAAGUGGAAGAGAGAAAGAGAGAAUCUAGAUUAGAAGAAGGAAGUUAAAACUACCUCUAUUGGUGGAUGACAUGAUUUUCUAAAAAAUCCUAAAGAAACACACACACACACACACACAUUAGAGUUAAUGAGUUCAACAAAGUUGUAGGAUAUAAGAUCAAUAUCCAAAAAUCAGUUGUAUUUCUAUACACUUACAACGAAAAAUCCAAAUAUGAAAUUAAGAAAGUGAUGCCACUUAAAAUAACAUCAAAAAUUAUAAAAUAGUUAUGAAUAAAUUUAACCAAGGAAGUGAAAGUCCUAUACAUUGAAAACUACAAAAGAGUUUUGAAAAAAAUCAUCUUCUGUGUUUAUGGAUUGGAAGACUUAAUAUUAUUAAAAUAGCAAUACUCCCCUGAUUGAUAUACAGAUUCAGUGCAAUCCCUGUCAAAUUCCAGCUGCUUUUUUGCAGUUGAUCCCAAAAUUCAAGCUGAUCCUAAAAUUCACAUGAAAAUGAAAGGGACAUUGGAUAGCCAAAAUAUUCUUGAAAAAAAAAAGAGCAAGGGCCAAGCGCAGUGGCUUACGCCUGUAAUCCCAGCACUUUGGGAGGCUGAGGCGGGUGCAUCAUGAGGUCAGGAGAUCGAGACCAUCCUGGCUAACAUGGUGAAACCCCGUCUCUACUAAAAAUACAAAAAAAAAUUAGCUGGGCGUGGUGGUGGGCGCCUGUAGUCCCAGCUACUCGGGAGGCUGAGGCAGGAGAAUGGCAUGAACCUGGGAGACGGAGCUUGCAGUGAGCCGAGAUCGCACCACUGCGCUCCAGCCUGGGCAACUGAGCAAGACUCCGUCUCAAAAAAAAAAAAAAAAAAAAUCGCAAAGUUGGAGGACUCACGCUUCCUGAUUUCAAAACUUAUUACAAAGCCACAGUUAUCAAUACAGUGUAAUGCUGACAUAAGGAUAGACAUAUGGAUGGAUGGAAUAGAAUUGAGAGUCCACACAGAAAUACAUUCAUGUAUGGUCAAUUGAUUUUCAACAAGGGUGUCAAAUGGGAAAGAAUAAUUUCUCAAUAAAUGUUGCCAGGACAAUUGGAUAGCCACUGCAAAAGAAUAAUGUUGGACCCUGACCUCAUACUAUGUACAAAAAAGGAAUUCAAAGUAGAUGAAAGAUUUAAAUGUAAAAUCUAAAGUUAUAAAACUCUUAGAAAGAAACGUAGGUAUAAAUCUUCAGGACUUUGGAUUAGGCAAUAGUUUUCUUAACUGUCACACCAAAAACAUAAGCAAUAAAAGAAAAAAAUUGGUAAAUUGGAUUUCAACAAAACUAAAAAUUUUCGUGAAUCAAUGGACACUACCAAGAAAGUGAAAAUCAACCCACAGAAUAGGAUAACAAAGUAGUUGUAUAUAGGAUAUUUCAUAAGAGAUUAGUAUCCAAAAUAUGUAAGAACUCUUGAAGCUCAACUACAAAAAGACAACUGAAUCAUUAAAAUAAAAUAGAAUAGGCAAAGGGUGUGAAUAGACAUUUCUUCAAAGAAGAUAUACAAAAGGCCACUGCAAAAAGAUGUUCGUGAAAGAACACAUGAAAAUUAUUCAUUAGGAAAAUGCAAAUCAAAAUAACUGUAAGGUACUACUUUAUAGCUGCUAGGCUGGCAAUGAUGAUGAUCAUGAUGACGAUGAUGGUGAAGAAAAUAAGAGACUGAAGAAGAUGUGAAGUAAUUAGAACUCGUAAUCAUUGCUUGUGGGCAUGCAAAAUGAUCCAGCCUCUGUGGAAAACGGUUUGGCAGUACCUCAAAAAAUUAAACACAGAGUUACCGUUUGACCUAGCAGUUCCAUUCCUAGGUAUAUAUCCAAGAAUUGAAAACAUACGUUCACAUGAAAACUUGUACAUUGAAUAUUUAUAGCAGUAUUAUUUGUAGUAGCAAAAAAGUGAAAACAAACCACAUGUCCAUUAGCUGAUCAAUGGGCAUGCAAAAUCUGGUAUCUCCAUGCAGAGGAAUAUUAUUCAACAAUAAAAAGGAGUGGAAUACUGAUACAUGCUACCUCAUGGAUUAACCUUCAAAGCAUUAUGCUAAAAGAAAGAAGCUAGACAUGAAAUGACACAUACAAUGUGCUUCCAUUCAUAGGAAAUAUUCAAAAUAGGCAAAGUCAUCAAGAUAGAAAAUAUAUUAGUGGUUGCCAGGGGAUGAAGGAGAGGGAAUUGGAUUGUCUGGUAACAGCUAUGGGGUUUCUUUUUGGGGUCAUGUUCUGGAAUUAGAUAGUCUUGAUGGUCAUACACAACUGUGAAUACACUAAAAACUAUUGAAUUGUAUUCUUUAUAAUGGUUAAUUUUAUAUUAUCGAAUUUUAUCUCAUUAAAAACAGGAAAACCUUUCUUUUCAUAGGAAAGCAUUUAAAAAUAAGUAUAAUUAUAUACUUAUUUAAAUAUAAUUUGUUUUUAGCAUAAUAUUUUAUUUUUAAACAGAGGAUGCUUUGUUAAACUGACAACUGACAUGUGUUUGUGAUUUCAUAAGGCUACAGAAUACCAUUCUUGCUUGUCUAAUCUUAUAACGCUAAAUUGCAUUUACGACCUCCUCCCCACCAGCACCUCAAACUAAAUAUAUAACAUCUAUGAGGGAAAACUUUGAGUCAUUGUGAUCUUGGAAAAAUAAUCUUAUAAGUUAAUUGUUGGUGGCGCUAUAGGUUUUUUUUUUUUUCCCUCCAAUCAAUUUUGAAACAACUUGGUAGAGCUUAGGUAACCACAUACAUUAUUGCCCAAACAAGACGCUUUUCAGCAUGGCAGUAGGUACUAAUCAUAUGUGUGUCAGCACAACAGGCAUAAACCAGACUGUCCUGGGAAACCCAGGAUACAUGGUCACCUAAACAGAAGUGAUAUUUACUUCCAGGCACAGACUCAUACCAAAUACUUGUUGUGCAAGCGAGGAUUAUUUCAAAGGUAAUUGCUGCUGCUGUUGCUGCUGCAGGUGGUGGUAGUGAGCUGGGCCAUGUCUUCCCUCCUAAGCCGAAAGAACCGAUGCAAGGGAAGCCACUGCAAUCCCUACUCACUCACCAGGGUCAGGGUUUCCGUGGAGGUGCGGUGGGGGAGAUGGGGAUUUCUUAUAAUGGUUUUAAUGAGCCCGUCUGGGUUCUCCUCCUGAGAUGAUUACCACCUUCCCUGUGUUUUGCAUCUAAGGACUUUGGGAUUGACCAGGGCUGCCUUGCUAACAUUUGUCUCUUCAUUAUCAACUGGUGUAUUGGAGAGAGAAAAUCCACGUGGUCUGAUCAAAUUGGCAGAAUUGAAAUGCCGCUGCUGAUGCUGGCAGGCCUGGGCUUUCCAGACAAGCAGAAGGAGUGGGUCUAAAAGGAUCCAUCUUCAGUAUGCUGUAUUCUGAUCUGCAUUUGCCUAAAGACACUUUGGAAUUAUUUAAUCUGACUGCCUCAUUUUAUACAGGAUUGUUCUCUUUUCUUUGUGGGCAAUCUACUUAGCUUCCAUAUUAUGCAGGUGGGGGACGGUUUAUUUGAGGAAAGAGAUUUGCAGAAGUGUUGGGUGAAAAUCCAAGGGUUAAAGGCAUUGAGUCCUGCAGGGCUGUUUGCUCCGCCACAGGCUUAGGUAGCUGAGGAUUCUAAUGCCCCUCCUGCCAGCAUCAGGUCUCCACCUGGCCAGGCCCACGCACUCCGAGCCACAGCUCAGCAAUCUCAUUAGUGAAAUGACGAUCUGCUGUCUGCUUCCCUGGGCUGAGUUGUGGAUUAAUUGCUCCACCUCCAGAAAGUACCUUAAAGCAAGAGAAGUUACAUGAGUCCUCCAGCUUAUAUGGCCCAAGCCAGUCCCUGCUGGUAGGUGAGGAGAAGAGAUGAGUGUAGGGGGAUCUGUGGCUCUCUGGAAAGGUCCCCUCCCAAGAAAACCUCACAAAAUGCAAAUGCCAACUCUUAGCUGAGAGUUGGAACUGAGAUAUGGGUGUAUGCACAUGUAUGUAUGCAUGUGUGCAUGUGUUUAGUGUUGGUGGCUGUGAAGUAAGAGGGGACACAUGUCAAGCAUGUAAGAAUCAGGGAACUCUGUUAGGGGUCUCCCGUUUCCUGUGCCCAGACUAACACUAUCAGUUAUUUUCCAUUCAUUCACUCUUCACCCUCUGACUCCUCACACAUACUCGUGAUUACCUUCACUUCCUGGAGAGAAGUGGAGGGCCCCGGAAUCCAGCUUAGCCUGUAAGGGAGAGGGGCUUUCAGUGAAGGUGACCCAGAUUCCAUACACUCAAGGCAAACAUGUUCUGAAUAGGAUCCCACAUGUUCAUUUCAGUGCUCUCCAGAGUGAGUUCUAGGAUCCAAUUUUCUUAUUGUUUUUUUAAGUCUGGCAAACUGAAAAUGGACUUCUUCCAGAAGGUCUGUCAGAGCUCAAGCCUUACGUGACAAAUCCAGGAAGAUGCCAUGACAGUGACAGGACUCAGCCUGGGAAGGAACUUGGCAGACCGGGACACCUUCCUGGAAUCAGGCACCCAGUACUCGGUUUGCCUGCUUUCUCUUUUCAGAUCUCACUUCUGAAGCUUUGCAUAUCUUCACACUGUCUGUGAUGAUGGAUUGAAAUUGUUUAGGCCCCCAUUACUCCCUGCCCAGACGACUUGCUCCCCAAGCCCUGCUAGGUGCAGCAGCUUCCAAGGGCAUCUGUGCUCACCCUGCCCAGGCCCCUUCUGCCCUUGACUCUCUCCACAGUUAUCUUUCUAAGACGUGUGCCUCGUCAUGCUUCUUCCCUUGUUGAAAUCCCAGUACCCUCUCACCUCCCCUCCCAUUCAGGAAAGAUUCCGGGCUCUCUGCAGUCUGGCCUUGGGCCACCUGCCCAGAUCCCACCUCUGCAGGUCCACACUCGUUCACCAUGUCCAGCGGAACAGUGUUGCUUGCCCUUCUUCAGGUGUGCCAGCCUUUCCCCAUCCUCUUUUCAACGCCUAGGAAAGCCACCUCCCUUUCUUCACUGGCUGAAUCUUUGUUUCCAAAGGUUCUGUGAGCUGUGAGGGCCCCUCCUUCAGGAAAAGGUACCUGAUACGGUGGUCCCCUUGCCCCAGGCUGGGGUGGAGGCUGUUCUAGGAUGAGGCCAGGCCCUGGCAUUCAAGUUGUAUGAUGCAGCCACUCAUCUGUGGCUUUGGGGGGCCUUGUUUGGAAUUUCUGUAUACCUGUCCGCUUACAAGGAACCUGGCACAGACUCAGUGCACGCUGAAUGAACGAGGCCUUUAGAGGACUAAAGCCCCAGAACAAAUUUUUCAUAUAUUUUGGCUCUUAAGGGUCCUGGUAACUCAGGAGCCACAAAGAAAAAGCAGAGUGAAUGACUUGCAUUAUCACCCCAGAGAGCUAAUCACACUCUCCUUAGCAGGGCUUUGCUCCUCAGAACUACCUGGCUGGCUGUGUAAAGGGGAGAAAUGAGUGAGGCAGCAAUUUUUCCCAACGUAUAGACAAGGAACCUGAGAGGUGAAACAGCUGAAGUGAAAUGAGCUGGCAAGGGGGUGCAGGUGAAGAGAGCUGCUUUGGGGUUCAGAUACAGACACAGUCUUCGUACUUCCUACGACACCUCCCUUCAUCAAAACCUGGAAAAACAGGAAACAACCUAAGCUCAUUAGAGGAUUCAGGGAUGACUAAUGGAAUUAAGCCUGGGGAGAAUUUGAUGCUCCUCGACGUGGGCCCCAUGGGGGCCAGGGUGGGGGCAGGGGCAUCCCUCCUCCACUGAUGUCUGCAGACUUUCUUUAAAUUAGUCUUCUUCAUCUGCUCAUUUACCCCCGGGAUUCAAGGAGCAGCACAUUAACUAAUGAAGUCAAUUAACGGAGGUUUGAAAUGCAAUGCCCUGCAACUCAGGUAUGGAUUGGAUACAAAAGGUUUGGCCCCAGUGAAAAGGUGACAGUGUGCUAAAAAUAAGCUCUGGUAUAAAGUGAUCCUCCAUCAGCUAAUUGCUAAUAGGGAUUCCUUGUGUGGGGCUCCGCAGCCCCGUGGCUGGGCCUAAUUGGCGAGUCCAGAGGCAGCAUUCAUGUCUCCGACCCACGGUUACAGAAGGGAGUGAUUGCAGGGAGCCUGAUCGAGCCACCAGCCGUUCCCAGACCUUCAGUGCCAAGGUGACUUUUCUCUUUGUUCUUCUUCAGGCCUGGCCCUGGCAGUGUCACCUCCUCCCUGGGCCUGGCUACAAGGGUCGUGAGGGCAACUUCUGUUGUAAGCCGAAUAAUGUUAACAGCUGGGACGUGCCGUUUGUCAGAGGUCACCACUGUUACAAGUUUCAGAGUGAACAUUUUUAGUAGAAGGUGAGACAGGAGAACUACUGCAGGCUACGCUUUGAGGCUGCAGACUUGAAAAACCAGAGUAUUUUCAGAGCACUGGGUGAAGGCUGCUCAGCCACCCUGCCCGACCCUCAUAAACCCUUUUAGCUCAGACAGAGCCCUCUGGGUGGCAGGGAAAUUGGGUAGGUGGCAGGAAAAAGUCAGUGGCUCCUGAAUCAGGAGAUAAGCAAGUGCUUAAAUACUCCUCAUCCACCCAAGAGCUGGGCCACCUUGGGCAGGAAACUUCACCUCUCUGGGCCUCACUGUGUAGACUAGAAUGAGGGUUCUCCCAGAUCUCACUCUGACAUUCAGUGAACCUGUGAUUUUAAGAUGCCUUCAGAUUUCAGCAUCUGUCGUGUUCCUUUCCAGGACCCUCCCUGCCUCUUUCUUCAAUGUGUCCACACACCAAAAUGCAUGGGGCUUUAAUGUGUUUCCUCCCCAUGCCCUGCUGACCAAACUGCCUCUACUUUUUGUUCUAAUUCUGGAUUUCCCAUGAGUCAUCGGAUGAGUUAGCAAAGUUGCCCCUCGCUGUUUUUUUUUUUCUCCCAAAUGCUUCUCAGUCAAUUAAAGACCUCAUCUAUUAACUGAAGAGAGAAGGGGAUCUUGAAUGCAUGCUGGCCAGGUGUGCUGGAGUCAGGUAUACUCAGGUCAGAGGAUAAUGAUAAUAGCAAUUAUAAUACUAAGAGCCACAACUAUUAAGAGAACUUAUUCUUUGCCAGUCCUUAUGCUGAGGAAUUAACAUGCUUUACCACAUUUAAACUUCUCAAAAUCCCUAUGUAGUGAGUAAUAUUAUUAUUCCCAAUUGAUAGAUGAUGAAACUGAGCUUAGAAAAGUUGAAAUGAUUUUCCUGGGAUCACACAGCCAGUAAGCAUUGGAGCAGCAUUUAAAUCCAGACUAAACACCACGAGGCAUUUUUUUUCUCCAAAGACUAGAGAAAUUUUGGACUGUAUUUUAAAGCAGUGAAACAUGCAGUGAGACAUGCAUACACACACUCAGCCAUACUCAUAACGAACAGGAGAAUUUAUGCAUACAAGUGAGUUCCAAGCUUCAGAGUCAUCACCUUGUAAGGUCAGUUUAUGUGCUUGUUCCAACAAUAUCACAGAUGCUUGGUUGGGGAGUUUCUCCUGGGAGUGCUUCAUGAGCUACACACAUACACAUGCGUAUUUUUAUAUCAUAGCUGCAGCCUGCUCUUUAUGCUGUUGUUGUUCUUGUUGUUUUGCCUUCCAGUGGUAUUAUUAUUCCUUGUGCUCACAUUAUUUUUUUGCCAGGCUUGACUCCAAGUGGCUUUUGAUGGUUUCCAAUAUGCAAAUCCAAUCUACCCUUAAAGGAAGGAUUUGCCAACAUUCAAUUGAUCUGACUGGCUGUUUUUUCCCACUACUCCAGUGGCUUACAAAAUAUUUGAGCAGUGGCACCAUUUUUAUUUUCUUCCCGGAUCUCUUAGGGAAGCCUAAUCUUUACGACAGAUGAAGGCAGAGUGGCUGUGUUUGAAGCAUGAAUUCGGGAGGCAUGACCCCAUCCACUCUUCUCUCCCAUUCUUGUUCUCUCCUUAGGCCUGGAGGGCCAAGGAGACUUCGGGUUUCAGGGAAAGCAGCUUGGGAACCACUGCCCUGGCCCAGACAGCCCAGUGGUGGGAGGGCCAGUGUCAGGAGCUCCACACCCUCUCUCUGGCCCAAUGUGAGCAAGUUCUGCCUGUGAACUGAAGGAACAUCCACAUCUCUCCUAAACAUUCUUACUGGCCAAAAGGAAGGAGAAUGUGACUCUUUAGUGAACACCUCCGCAGGGUCUUUCAUCCACCAUUCAUGUCUGUAAAAGAGCUUUUAAGAGGUUUGCAGAAAUGCUUCAAGAAAGGAAGAAAAGGGAGCUUGGUGGCUAUAAACAGAAAGGUUAGUUCUGAGGUCAAGAAUGAUACAGGGGAAGAGGAAAAAAAUUUAAGGAUUGCAAUGCAAUGAGGAGAAGAAUCACACAGAUAUUAAGAAAAACCAUACAGAGUGGGAAUUUCCAGCAGCAGGGAAAAGCACGAUAUGUCUGGAUCUGAGGCCAAAUGUUGGACAUCUGCGUCCUCCGUGUGCCCAGCCGCCCACUGCAGUUAGGGACGUGCGGGCCUGGGAGUGGGGAGUGUGCACCUGCUUUGUGCUUGGCCAUGGGAGACACCAGCAAGGACCCAUGAGAGAGGAAUUUCUCCCUUAAGGAACCCACUGUCUAAGAGGGAACAUACUGAAACACUCUAAAGCAAAGAGGAAAUCGGGAAAGGCAGUAAUGGAGAUACAAAUGGAGCGUUAGGGGAGUCCAGUGGAGGGCGGCUUCUGUAAAAGUGUCCAAGCCAAAGCUGAGUUUCCUCUAACACAUGGCAUGAUGUCCCUUUCCAUGCUUCAGUAUGGACUUUGGGUGACAUUUUGGACUCUUCAUAUUUUAUCUUCUCAAACUCAUUUUGACUCCCUCAUCCUAACUUAGUUCUCAUCCAAAAACGAAAAAAGUACUUCUCCGUUUAUACCCCCAAAGGAAGUAUAAAAUUAUGACUAUGCUGUCUUCCAACAUGAGUCAGUUGAACCCCUGCUUAAGUGAUGAUUGCGCGUGGCUCAGGAAUGUUUCUGUCUCUCUCCUGUCUGAAUUUCAUUGGAGCAUAGGAAGGCCCUUCCAUUUUUGCUUAAUUGCUUCACAGUUCUUUUCAUUUUAGAGUGUGAUUUUCUUAUACCUGAGACCAACACAAAGGGAAAAAAAUCUCUGUGAUCCUCAAGGAAAAAAUACACAUCCGUGUUAGUUUGGAGGGCCUCAGAUAAUUACUGGUAAGCUGGGGAGAGGACUUUAUUACCAUAUGAAUAUCACAAAACCAAGGGAGACUUUGAGAAAUUGUUGGAUCUAAUCCUAUGAUUUACUCAUUUUCUCAGCAGCCUAAUGCUGUGAUACAGGUUUCAAACCAAGUUCCUAUUUCCUCUUGUGAAUCAGUCCCUUUAUUCCAAAAGGAAUCUGAAACAGCUUCACCAAGGCCAGCAGUGGGGAGCAUCUUCACUCUAGGCUUUGGACUUGAAGCGAGGCCUUGUUGCAUUCUGUAUCACCAGGACCUCAUACAAUGCCUGGCACGCAGUGGGGACUUGCUCAAAUAAUGUUUGCAGGAUUGAACUGAUGAUGAACAAAGGCAGAGAAGUGGGAAUGCACAGGGUGUGUUUGAGGACAAGUGAAGCAAUAGCUGACACUUGUUAAGCCUUUACUGAGAACCAGAUAGCAUGCUGAGUACUUUGUUUCCUUCUCAUUUAAACCUCACAAGACCUCCAUGAGAUAGGACCAUUAGUAUCCAUUUUACAGAUGGGAAAUACCAUAGACUGAGUGGCUUAAACAACAGCCAUGUAUUUCUUACAGUUCUGGAGGCUGAGAAGUCCAAGAUCAAGGUGCUAGCAAGGUAGGUUUCAUUCUGAGGCCUCUUUUGGCUGGUAGACAGCUGCCGUGGGGCUGUGUGCUCACAGGACCUCUUCUUUCCCCACUUCUUUUUGGAGAGAGAGAGAGAAAGAAAGAGAGUGCGUGUGCAAGAGUGCACAUACAUGAGCUCUCUGGUAUCUUACAAAAACACGAAUCCUAUCAGAUUCAGGCGUCACCCACAGGACCACAUUCAACCUUAAUUACUUCCUUCAAGGCCCCAUGACUAAAUACAGCCACAAUGGGGCUUCCAAAUAUAAAUUUGGAAGGGAACACAAACAUUCAGCCCAUAACAGGAAACUAGUGCAAGGUUGCAGAGCUAAGAAGUGUUGGAGCAGGAACUCAAACCCCCUCCCUUAUGCUGAAAACCAUGUACCUUACUGUGAGGCAGUACCACCAUGGUGUAUGGAGUGAUAGCUUGGUGUGUAGAGAGGGAUAGGAUGCGGUCAUCGGAGAUGAUGAUGAUGAGGCUGUCUGGGCUCAGAUGAAUCUAAAGACUGAAUCUCUCCCUGUCUUCAUCUCCAUCUCCAUCCUGUCCACCAGCCACACUGAAAACCUUGCAGUUCCCUGAGGCUGCUGCAUGUUGCCUGCAAUCCUUUGACUAUCCUUUGAAUAUAGGUGCUUUGAUCUACCUAGAGAAGUGGUUCUUAAGCGUGGCUGCACAUUAGAAUCACGCAAAAAGCUUUUAAAAACCCAGAAGUCAGAACCAGGUUGAAGGGCCCACACUGGUCUCAAAGAAAUAAUGAUAGUAACAGAUUAUAACCUAAUGUACAAAGUAAGAAACCAUGAUUUCAUCUGAUGUAGAUUAUUACCUAAUGAAUUGAUAGUUUGAUGACAAAGUAUUUACAUAAUUUCAAAGAACUCUGCAAAAAGGACUUAUUAAUUACAAAAGGAAAAUGAGUACAUUUACAGUGAAGGAGCUUGGCAGUCUCCACUUUGAUCAAGUGACCCAAGUGAACAUCAUUAGUAAUGGGACACAGAGAAACCAUGGGCCGCUUCAUAGGGUACAGUAAGAAGUUACUACUGAGAUAGUCCUGCCAAAGAUGUACAGCUGCAUCUAAUCACGAGGGGAACAUUAGACAAAUCCAAAUUGAGGGACAUAUUUUAAAAUAACAGUCCUAUAAUCUUCAAAAGUGUUAAGGUUAUGAACGUCAAGGGAGGCCUGAUAAACUGUUUCAGAUUGAGGAAGAAGAGACAUGACAACUAAAGGCAGCUUGUGAUACUGAACUAGAUCAUUUUGCUAUCAAAAACAUGAUCGGUACAUUUGCCAAAACUUGAGUGGUUGUAAUGUACUGAUGCGAAUUUACUGAUUUUGAUGUUUAUGUUUUAGUUAUAUAGGAGAAUGUUCUUAUUUGUAAGAAAAUACACUACAAAGAAAGAUGGGACAUCAAGACAACAAAUUACUCUCAAAUGGCUCAGUUAAAAAAAAAAGAUUUAUGCUGUGCUUGCAACCUUUCUGUAAGUUUGAGAUUUUUAAAAUACAAGCACACAGACAAAAACCCUGAUAUCCAGUUUGUAUACAAAACCAAUUAAAUCACAAACUCCAGAGAGGAGACCCAGGCUUGAGUAGCUGUUGGAGCUCCCAGUUGAUUCCAGUGUGAGCCUAGGUUGGCCCUAUUAGCCCACUUUCAAAGUGUGGUGCCCAAACCAGCAGAAUUAGAAUCAGUGGGAAACUUGUUAGAAAUGAAAAUUUUCUGGCCCCACCCCCAGAUUGCCUGAAUCAGAAACUCUGAGGGUGGGACCCAACAAUUUGUAACGUACCGAGGUUUUGGUGCAUGCAUAUGUUUAAGAACUGUUGGCUAUAACCUUCCUUGCUCCCCUUCUAUCCAUACAUGCUCCCAAGUGCCCUUCCAGAGUCAGCUCAGCAGGUUUCCAGUCCUGGGGCUCCCUCAAUACCUUAGAGUGCAUCUCAGAGUUUGGGAAUUAUCUGUUUACAUCCUGAUCUCCCCAACAAGGGUUAGUCCAAGGCUCAUUCACACAGUCUCUGGAAUAGCAUAAGCACCAGUACAUAUUUAUUGUUGAUGCUUAAGUUGAUGCUUAUUGAAUGAAUUGAGGGACUGGCCAUGAUGUUCAGUGGUGUUUCCCCUGUGCCACAUUUUAGCUUCAUUUGCAUGCCCUUAAGAGGCAUGCACUGAUAUGUUUCAAGUGUGUUCUGUGUUGGGAGUUUGAUAAGGGGCUCUGUGGAGGCAGGGGAGAUGGCAAGCACUUGUAACCACAUUCAGAAGCACCCCCGCCUUUCUGGACCAGUACUGAAGCCUUUUACUAAAAGGUGCCUGUGAGCUGCUGGGCUUUCUAAUUAAACCAGAUGGACUGGAUGAUAGCUGAUUAGAUUCCUGACUUACUGAUCUUCCUUCUAUUUACUCACAUAAAUACGUUGAUGAACCAGAAGCCAUCUCAUUCAGGAAAAGCACCUCACUGAAUAUUUUUAGAAAAUUAAACUUUUAUGAAUGACCCAGACUGUGAGCAGCUAAAAUGCCAAAGUCUGUUUCCUGUGGCACUUGCAUGGUUGAGCUAUCAGCAGGGGGACUGUGAACAAGUUUGUUUCUGCAAAUAUGUGCCAAAACAACAGCAACAACAAAUUACAGACCCGUCAGUCAUUUUGGAUGGAGAGGAGCAUGUCAUAAUGAUAGACAUAACCAGGGACAUAGGCACUUCUUUGCUUUAACUGCCUCUGUCCCUCCUAGCUCCAUUCAACAGUGUCACAUUUUGUUGAUGCUGAUUCCCAAUUCAAUUUCUCUGUUAAUUGGUAAUAUUUGGGGGUAGGGGUAAUGAAGUAGAGGCUAAAAAGAACACAUAAUACAUGAAAACAUGUAUUUAUAAACAUGCAUAUAAAUAUGGUACAUCUGUCGAUGCAUAAAUAUAUAUGCCGAUGUAUAAUAAAAAUUAUAUGUCAUAUGCUUUAAAAAAAUCUACAAAAAAUAUUUAAAUAUCUAUAUACAUACACAAAUAGCAAGGACUUAAAGUCAUGAUGUGUCUUGAGCAACUCUUAACUUCAGGUUCUGCUACUAAUUAGAAUCUAUCUCCAUGCCCUGUAGAAGAUAGGGAGUUGGUCCCACUUGGAGUCAUGGAUAAUCAUUUUGUGUAAUGCACUGCUUUAGGGUAUUUCCAGGAUCAUUCUGCUGAGGUGGCAGAAGAGCGGAAUAUCCUAAAGCUAUGACACCAAUUCAUGGCCCUGCAGAAACAUCAUGGCAGUUGAGAGUUUAAACCUCAAUCCCAAGUUGCUCAAAUUGGCUUUGACUGUGAAAAUUGGUGCUGAGCUGGACCGACUUCCUUGGCUAAACUGUAUAAUCAGAAUUCUAUUCAAUCACACUUAAAGAGUAUUUUGACUGCCUGUUGUUGCUAGCAUGUGUUUACUUCUGUGGCUGAUGCAACAUAUUUACAACAUACCAGGUUUAUCAGAAAUGUAGAAGCAUUCUCUCUUACAGUGAAAGCCAAGAUCAGGUUGUUCCCUAGAAACAAGGCCAGUCUCUGGAAGGUCAGAGGGAUGUAAUCCCAAUGUGUAACAUUCUGGUUACUUAUUCAUUCAUCUAAUACAUUCCUACCAUGUGCCAGAUAUUGUUCUAGGAUUAGCACUGGCUCCCAAGAAAGGUACAGUCCCUUCUUUCUUGGAGCUUACAAAUUUUAAUUAUUAAGUCAACUAACCAUUAAGUUUUGUGAAAACAGAAAUGAAUCACAUUGGUGGAAUGUGCAAACCAGCUGGGAAAUAAGACUCGUCUUCCAGAAACCAAUCAGAAAGCCAUGUCUAGAGAAUAUUAUUAUGAGUUGAAUUUUGUCCCCUCGCCACAAAAUUCAUAUGUUGAAGUCCGAAUCCCCAUACUCAGCAUGUGACCAUAUUAUAGAUAGGGUCUUUAAAGAGGUAAUUAAGUGAAAAGAAGUGACUAGGGUAGGCCCUAAUCCAGCAGGACUGAUAUCCUUAUAAGAAGAGGAAAUGUGGAUACAGAGAGAACGUGAUAUGAAGAAAGAGGGAGAAGAUGACCAUUGAGUGGCCAAGGGGAAAGGCUUGGAACAGACCCUUCCCUCACCAUCCUCAGAAGGAACCAGCUCUGUGGACAUCUUGAUAUCAGACUUGUAGCUUGUGAGGCAGUAAAUCUCUGUCAUGUUAACCACUCAGACUGGGUGGUUACUUUGUUAUGGCUGCCAUACUCUGUUAUGGUAGCCUUAGCAAACUAAUACAUAUAUAUUAAAAUUCUAACACAUGGACAGGGAAUGGACUGGCUUGAUUGGGGAGGGUUCGUAGUAGGGUCAUAAGUGUGAGACAGGGUGAAGGUUUGGUCUGGUUUUGAGUAGAGAAAGAGGUUGGCAUAAUUAGUGUUUCAGGGAAAAAAGAAAAGCAAAGAAACCAGUGCUUGGGGAGAAAAAUAGCGCUUGCAAACAGAGAAAUCAAGUUGCAACCUUCUUUGCAUUUUAAUAGCUUCAUCAAUGUGAAAGAGGCUUCUGCCCUCUCCAGAGGACUCAUUCCCCUUGAUGUCAUCUUUAUUGAAUUGUCUUGUUUUACAAAGACGUAAAAUGGCUUUGUGUUGGGCUAGUUUCUUCUUCUGCUAAGAAAUAUCAAGUUCUUCCAAUGUGAGACUCUCUGUGUCUCAUGUAAUUAUACAGUUAGGCAUUUCCUUAAUGCUGGGAUUUAGUUUUAAGCCCAGUGUACAGAGACCAUUGCUAAUUCUACAUUUGGAUUUGGGCCCUGACUACUGAUGGUCCUUGGGACAACGCCAGGACACUAACUAGGUGGUGAGAGAAGCAAUAGGACUGAAAAGAGGGUGAUAUUUUGCCAUCUGUGUUCUAUUGCUGGGAUGCUCUAUGACAGGGUAUUGAACAAUGAUGUUGGGAAGGAAGGGUGGACCAUGAGCUCCAAGAUGUCAAAAACUGGUGGCGGGACAUGGGGCUUCCACUGGUGCUAAUAGGCUUAAAGAUCACCGCAGUACCCAAGGCCCAUAAUACCCUAGUCCUGUUGGCCUAAGAAGGUAUCUUCAUUGAGGGAUAACUUCAUCCUAUAGUUAUCUCAGAAUCUCUAGAACCUAAUCUAUGCCUGGUUCAUUGUUGGCACUCAAUAAAUGUUUGCUACAGGGAGGGAGAGAGGAAGAGAAGCUUCUCUUUGGUCCAAGGAACAUCCCUAUAGCAUAAUUAGUAUGGCGUAAUUCAGUGCAAUUUAUGUACUUGUGGUUCCCAAGGGUCUCAAACAAGAGCUGUCCUUACUGCCCCUGCACCACUGCUUCUCCCAGAAGGGUCACUUGCAUGUGCUUCUGAAGCCAUCCUCUCAGCGGCCACUCCAGCCACCAUUUCCCUUUCCUCCCACAUCAGCAACUGUGGCGCUGUUUGCCAAAGGGCUGCAGUGAUUGAAGACAGACAGCAGUGUUCUCAACUAGUUCCUCCCAGUGCAUUCAUAAGCUCUCCUGGCAACUGCUCAGGCCACGGUGUGCUGUGCCAGCAGGACACCUCACGCCAGCUCUUGCUGGCUGUACUCACCUGCGUUUGCCACAAGGCAGCACUGCCCUCCCUACACUCCCCAGGGCCCUGGAGUCUUUACUAGCCAUGUUAUGCUAUCUCUCCCCAGGACUCAGCUAUACGGCUACAAGGAAAGGAGCAGAAUGAAAUCUUAGCAUGACCCUCUCCCCUCUGCUCCAUCCCCACCCUCACACUAUUCCUCUCAAGACUCAUUCUUUUCAGAGGAGGGCUUUCCCAGGAAGCUCCCUAGAGCUUCCCCCACCUUCCACCAGCCAUACCUGAAUCCUAGGGUGCGUAGCAGUAAGGCUCAAACUGGGACCUCUGCUUCAUAAAGAAGUGGGUUACGCAGGGGUAUCCUCCUCAGCUGGACACCACACCUCAUCUUAUGCAGGUAGGUAUAUUAAUGUCUCGGGCACCAGAAAUAUUCCAUAGAGCCCCAAAAUGGCUUCAACAGAAUGGGAAAACCAUUCCGGAGUAGGAAUCAGAUGGACUUCUACUUGAAACCAGACUAUACCACUUACCAGCUAUGUGACCAUGGUCAAAUUAUUAAGACUUUCUGAGCUAUGGUUUCCCAGUCUAUUAAAUGAGAUGAUUCCUAUCUUACAGGACAACAGGGGUUUUAUGUGAGAGAAAAUGUGAAAUGAAGGUACACUGCUGCCUGCAAAUAAGAGGUGCUAAAUCCACCUUGCUUCUCAUGUCUCUCCAUUCCCUUAAGUUAGACGUAAGGAAUAAUUUGAUAUAAAUCUUCAGCUUUAAACCACCCACUGAUGAACCUCCCCUUGAAUAUCCCAGCCAGAAAGCUUGUGAAGGGUUCCUACUGUGGCUAGGAUACUGCAGAGGAACCUGAGCUUGUUCAUGUUAGCCAGAGCUGAAAUCCACACCUGUCUGCCAGAGUCUCCUGGAAUGUGCUAGCAGAGCUAACUGGGCCAUUCCCGCUGAGUUCUAUAGCAUUUAGUAGAACACUUUCAUCAACACAUAGUGCUCAGAAAGGGCUUCAGAUGAAGCUGAGGGGGAUGCCUUCAGCAGUCAGCUGCACAGGAGCAGAGGAAUGCAAGGGAAACCUCACAAAUAAGUGCAAUUUCUUUAUUGGCUUACCCCCUCCAAGAGGCCAAGGGGCCACAACCUAGAUAAUGCGAGCAUCCUUUCCACCACCACCCCGAUAAUUGCUCUAGGCCCAAGAGAAAUUAACAUAAACCUCUGUAGGUUCCCUCCAGACUUGGCCCUUUUCAACCAUUGCUCCCAUCAUCCACCUCCAUCAUUGCUCGUCUCUGCUAUUCAGGCCUAAGACCUCUGCUUAGUCAACAGUGCCUUAUGACCCAUGCCUCAGGCCUGUGCUCUGCAACAGGGGCUCCCCUGCACCAUCCGCACAUUCUAACUUCUAUGCCUUUGAGCAGUUAAGAGCACACACUUUAGAAUCAGAGCUGAUCUUACCCAUUGGCUGUUCAGCUUGGGGGCAAGUCAUUUACCCUCUGAAAAGUUCAAUUUCUUCGAAGCGUAAAUGGGGAUAGUCAUAGCUGCCUCAUAAGCUUGAGAAUUACUCUAUGUACCAUGCAUAUGCAUGUAGAUCAUCUGAGUGUCUGGUACAUAGUAUAUUGCUGCUUAUAGGCAUCAUGGUAGUAGGAACAUAGAGGUGAUUAGAUACAUUUACUUAAGCUAUUUCCCUUGAUAGGAAUACUCUCUUCCUACCUUUUAAAACACUACCUAUUUUUCAUGACCACAAAUGAUACCACCUCCAUGUUGUCUUCCCAAUUCCCUGCAACCACUUACUUUGAACAUAAGGCGCACCUAUUUUCUAUGACUUCCUUGGCCUUUAUCUCUUGCUACCAGUUCUUCUGAGCAAGGCUUGUCUUUUCCCAGUUUGAUUGUCAGCCCUUUCAGACAAGGACCAUGCCACCACUCUCAACAGAGUGUUACAACCCUUGGCUCCUGGGGACCAUGAUUAUCAGGGAAGAGCAACAUUCAUGUUUGGGCAGGUGGACGUGUUCAGGCUGCCAAGUGUUCAUUUUAUGGUGUCUAAAAUGGUGUGCUUAUGUGUCAAGGACAGCUCUGAAACAGCUAGGGUAAAGUGGAGGAGAGGGGGGAGCAGUCCAGCCUCAACUAGAACUCUAAGUGGCAUGUCGAGGGGCUGCUCUCAGAAGAAAACAGCUUCUUUGGUCUGUGCAUUCCUUUUGGGACCAGGUAAUUAUUGUUUAAGAUGAGUCUGGGAAUUUCCAGGUUGCCUGAGACACUGUCUGAGAACCUUCUUAGUACUUGGUUCUGACAGCAAGUGCUGAAGCGGAAAAAAUAUUUCCAUCCAUCUGCACUAAUCUCUUGUUUCUCUAGCGGUUAGAAAGUGGGGAGGGGAAAUGAAUUAAAGGCUGCAUUAGGAAAAAAGAUGAAGAGCCAGGCUUACGCUUGGUCCAUGCCAGGUCAUUUUCUAGUCAGGACAGGAAAUGCCAGAUUUCUACAGCUAUUGGGUGGAGGUGCUGGGAAUAUAAUCAUUUGCACUGUGAUAAUUGAAGGCAUUGAAGGAGAAAGCCCAACUUAAAAACUUCCAGAAAAGCAAAGAUACUCAGAAUUCAAAGCAGCUCACUCUCACUCUCUCGCCUCGUGGUCACAGUAAGAAGAAAACAGCACUCGGUCAGGACCGGGGCACCUUUCAAUGUUCCAACAGAAUCUGCCCAUCCGCAGCUCAUGCGCUGGGUCAAACAAAUACAAACCCCAGCACCUUUCACAUAUGUAUUUGCAGGCCUUCCGUGUUUAUAUGUCUAAACCCGGCACACGUGGUGCCUGUGUCGGUUACUGUUUUCAGGCUGGGACCCCAGGGACCAUAAACCUGAUGAGGGCUUUGUGCCUACAUUCAGCUAUACAAUCUGUGUCUCAUUACACUGCCCAUCAAGUUAGCAUGUGCUUGUGUUGGCUUGAGCUGGCGUUUCUCAGUGCUCCUGGAGGCUGGCCAGGUCGACAACAUAUAUCGGUGGAUUAAACCAUUAAAGCUAUAAUGGCUUCUUUCCCCUCUUCCUCCCUCCUCCUUUCCUUUGGCCCAUUCAGAGCCAGGAAACUCUUUCAAAGGAAAGAGGCUCCUGCCCAUUCAUAUCUUAGGCCAAAUUUAAAGUAGCAGCUGAGACGCUUUAUGGCAACACAAGUGUGGUUACUUCAUAUUAUCGGCACUUGACUUUUAAGUCUCUGUCACGUAUAUCAAUGGGUGAUAAACAUUUUCUUCUUGUUAACUUUUUUUUUCUUUGUGAAUCUUGGCUUCAAGGACCAUGGGUACCUGUAUCUCAGGUGGGAAGAUUGAGGCUGGAACAAUGCCUUUAUAGGACCAUCAGAGAACUCUUCUGUGAACAGAUUUCUCUUGUGCAUGAUGUACCUUUUACAUCAUGCAGGGCAUUGUAGCAGAUAUAGGAGUUAUGCUUUAUUUGGUCCCCAACAUCAGGUGACUAACAGUCCAAUCAGAAUCCAUGCACACAGAGAUCAGCAUGACACAGCAUGAGAAAAGAAAUGGUUAUGUGGGGAAGUGUAGCAAAUGGAAUGGCCAGGGGAGAGGCCAGAGAGAUCUAAGAAUGUCCUGAAGGAGGUGAGAUUUGCCCUUGACCUUGAUGGAGUGGUCAGACUUGGGGAGUAUAAACUGGGAGUUAAGAGUGAAGACUCUGGAGACAGAUGGCUUUGGCUUAAAUCGCAGUUCUACUGCUUGCUAGCUGUGUGACCUUGGGCAAGUUACUUAACCACAGUUUCCCAGUUAUAACAUGGGAAUGAUAACAAUGGUGUGUGUCUCUUGGGUUGCUUUGAGGUUAUUUGAAAUAAUACCUGCAAAGCACACAGCUAAAAAAUAGGAAUGAUGGUGGUGAUGAUGCAGGGAGACCAAAGAGCGGAACAGUCUAGAGUGAAGCGAAUGUGUUAAAAUCCAGAGGCGAUCAAGUGAAGCCAGCGUUUGGAGGCCCAUAGAAGUCAUUUGGAGGAAUUUGGACUUCGUGCAGUAGGAAAGAGGGAAAACUAUUUUUAGAAAAAAAAAAAAAAAGAUUUGUGUGCCGAAGUAUAACAGGAUGAAAAUGGAUUUUAAGAGGUAACUGAUGUGUCUGCAAUUCAUCUCUCCUGAUCAUGUAACUCUCUAGUCACUGCCCCAUUCAGUAGAUCAGCUGCACAGACUCCUAAUUAGCCAUUCCAGUAGGCCAGAUCAUCAACACGACUAUUUUUUGAGCAGGUAUUUUCUUUUUAAUCAGAUGGAUAAUUGUAUUACCUAAAUCUGUGUCUAUCUCAAGUGCCAUCUCAGCUGCUACUUCCUAAGAGGGAUCCCCCAGCUUUGAGGCUGGUUUCAGGAGGGCAAGUAAAAAUGGCUGGCUUAUUUGCUUGUAGAGGUUGUCUUUGCUACAGGAAUUGCAUGAGAGCACCAUGCUUGUUAAAUGUGCCAGCUAUAAGCUAAUGAUUUUAUGAUAAAGAUUCUUCUUUAACAUGUCUCUAUGGGAUCAUGUAAUUUUGGAGUGGGAAGGGACCACAAAAUCAAUCUAGUCUUUGUAACAAUGAGAGGGAGGUAAAGCCAGGUGGUUCUGUAAACCAGGAAGUGUGGAGAACCUCAUAUCCUAGUUUCAGGCAAUUUUUUCCUCGUUCCACAAAAAAAAAAAAAAAAAUCCUGUUUUCAUUUAUUUAGAGGGUUUCAAAGGAAAGUUUUACAAUCUCUACUCUGGCUAUAGGAAAGUAUAGAGGACACCUCCACUUGCAUGGCAAGCCCACACCCUUACCCCAAGGCCAGGAAAGAGAGAUGAGAAGGAGGCCGCAAGUGCUGGAUGGGAGAGGAAUUGAGAGAUUUUCACAUAUAUGUCUCUACCAUAAACCUUUAUGGCAAAAAAAAAAAAAAAAAAGCCUUCUCUGGAGGAUCAUAGGAUGCAGCAGCAGGGGAUCCUUCAGGACCAUUUAAUCCAGUGUUUUUUCAGAUGUGUUCUACUAGUUUCCCAGGGUGUUUAAAGGUGUCACACUUCAUGGUCCACUAAAUGUGGAAAUGAUGACUUGAAGGACACUAAUAUGUCUGCAUCUGGAGUUUCAGGCUCUUUAAUAUGCUCCCAUUAGCACGGUGACUCUCCAAGAAAGGAUACAAACAUGAGCCAUAUCUAUAGGAUUUCUUGUUGUUGUUUAUUUUUAUAAAGAACCCUUUUAUUUUAAGGCUCCUGGAAACAUCUUUCAACAUUUGUGUGUUUCAGAACACACUGAUUUUGCGUAAUACCUUAGUUUAAAGAUAAAGACAUUGAAACAAAGUCACUAUCAGGUACGUGGUUGAACUAGGACUCCAGUAAGCCCUUCCUUCAGAGUGCUAGAAUUGAGAUUAGUCAGGCUAAGAUGCCACAUACUUGAAAUUAUUUGAAUGUUUCAGGAAAAUGAUUUUUUAAUGUAUAUUUUGUUAGAUCUCUUUGGGUCAGUUUCCUACUUAUCACUCUGUUACGCUGAGUCAAGCAGCCAUAGAAUAUCUAAUAUAGUCCUCUGUCCAGUAGACAUAAAAGGAAGGAAAAGAAACAAUUUCUAUUCCUCACGCACAAAAGUACCUAAUGGCAAUGGCUGUAUCAAGCAAGCUGGUAGUUCUAGCUUUUGAAGUUUCCAAAAUUCUACAGCCUUGGAAUGUGUCCGUAAGGAUCUCUUUGCAGGUACAACUUUAAUAGGUGUGCAAUUUUCAGACUUGGGUGGUGUUUGAAGAGUUCUGAUGUCUGGCUUGUUGGCAGAGAGUUGGUUGCUGGGACUCUUGUCCAUCUGGUGCAGAGGGUAUGGGCCGCUGCCUCUCUGAGCUCUUCCUUGCCAGCCACCUAAGAAUGUGCCUGAGCCAAGUUGCUGUGCAAACCUACUGAGUGGACGUCUCAGCUUGUGCCAUAUCCUGACCCACAAUCAAGAAUCAUCUUCCCACAGGACACAUUCCAAAUGUACUUUCCAUACAUUUUUGUGGAUGGUAGGUUUUCUUAAUGACAGCCAUGGCUGCCAUUAUUUCUUAGCUGUCAGUCACCAGAUUAGGCAUUUUCCAUAUGUUUUAUCUCCUUUUUAUUCACAACAACGAUUGCUAAGUCUUCAGUAUUUGACCUUGAAUAAGAUACUUAAUUUCUCUGUGCUUCAGUUUUCUCAUCUUUAAAAUAGGGAUAAAAUUCCAGCCUCGCAGAGUGGUUGGGAAGAUUGGGUAUAAUUGAAUAAGCAUCUACACUAGGCAAUUAAUAUAUAGUUAUUCACUUUCAGGGGCAAAAUUUAUAUUGUAUGGGAUAUUAUAAAAUCCCACUUUCCUCUCUACCUCUAGCCCAGGCAAUUAAGGCAUAAAUAAUAUUUUAGACAGUCGUAUGUUUUGGUAAGGGGGCAGUGGACCACGUUAGCCUGCUAAAUCCCUAAUGACUCUCCAGGGCAGCUUCUUAUCAAGAUGAAAUGGAAUUUGAUGCUCCAUGCAUGCAAAGGCUCAGGUAAUUUGAAUCUGGUGUUUAAUCCAAUAUGAACAUCCUUUGUAUGAAAUCUCUGCCAUCACCACUUUAGGAAAAUUAAUAUUUAUAUCAAACAUCUUCUGUAAUGAGAUAUGAACUUUUGCACACCAAAAUUCUAGCUCAGAUUUUAGAUUUGUGUGCUCCCAUAGUCAGGUUUCUGAAUAAUUUAUUUAUCCAAUUGAAGAAAUAAAGUAGACGAACAAUUUCAAAGGAGACAUUGAAUCAAAGCAGAUGGCUAAUUAUUCUCAUUUCAAGGUAUCCUGGAUUAGGGGGAAAAAAAAGACUCUGAAAUCAAACAUGCCUCAUAGGUCAUUUUGAGUAUUAGUUAUGUUUACAAAGCUCCUUAUAGGAUAAAUCAUGAAAAGUAUAGGACAUAAUAUGAUUAUAUUUGGGGACCAAGUAUUUAUAUUUGAGAGGAAAAUGUAGCAGUUCACUAGGAUAAUUAACUCUUUGGGAACAGUCUCUAUCUUCUUUAUGUUCUUCUCUUUUCUGUCAUACCGUCUCCCCUUUCUCUAGCUAAGUAGCUCUUACCCUUUAAGAUUAGGUGUAACUUCCUCCAGGAAGCCUUCCUGACCUCCGGUCAGGCUAUUUCAGAAUAAUUAGUAUGUGUGCAUCACUGCCUCACUGAACUAUAGCCCCCUCAGGGACUGAGCAAAGUGUUCUUUCCAACAUUAUUUACCAGGCACAAUGAUUGUCACAUAUUAGGUCUUCCAUAAGCAUCGACUUAAUGAAAAUAAAUCCUGGGACAUUAGGCCUCACUGUUGCAUUGUGUUUGAGGAGGUACGUGUUGUCACAGAACUGUUGGAACCACAGCUAAAAUCAUAGCCCUUGCAGUUACUAGUUCUUCCAUGCUGAAGGAUGACAGGCACAAUGGAGUCCUCACCUGCCUUUCUUGGCAAAGUUCCUGAAUGUGGUUGCUGAGAGGAUUUUAGUCUUUUCUCUGCAGUGAGAAUGUGGGCUGAAUUCACAUUUUUAAAGCACUCUUAUAGCCCCCAACGUGUCUAUUUCAGUAUAAGUGCAUUGUAAUAAUACCUUACUUGAACGCAUAUUCUAAUACAGUUACUUAUCAUUCUACCCAUCUGUCUCCUCCACUGUCUUGACUCAUUUUUGAAUCACCACUGUUUAGCACGGUGCCUGGCACUUAGGAGGCACACUGCCAACAGGCUAUGAAUGAAUGAGUGAAUGAAUGGACUACCUAGUGCCUUCCCUUCAGAUCUCACCUGACUUAACUCAUACAGCAGCGCUGUAAGGCUGAUAGGACAAGAGUGAUACCAUUUCAUAGAUGCAGAAUCUGGCCAUCAGAAAGAUUUGAAAACUUGCUCAUGAUCUCACAGCUGAUAAAGGUGGGACCAGGACUCACAUGGAGGACCUCCAAUGCUUGAGCCAUGUCCCUAGCUCAUAGCUUCCUCUACAAUUUAUAAUAGACUGGUAUGUACCGAUAAUUGAAAGGAUGAGGGUGCCUACUAAGAUACUUUUCUGAGGACAGAAAGAGUAAUCAUUGUAACAAUAAUAGCUAUUUAUUGAGUCCUUAAGGUGAGUACUCAAUAAAUGCCAAACACUUUAUAUAAGUCACCCUAACAAACUAAUAUACUGCUAAGCAGCUAUUAUUGUUACUUGCAUUUCAUACAUGAGGAAACCAAGACACAGAAUAUUUAUGAAACCUGUGCAUCAUCACAGAACUAGUGCAUCAUAGAAACAUGAUUUGAACCUGGGUGGUUUGGUUCGAAGCUCCUAUACUUUCCCAUUCUGCUAUACUUCCUCCCCUAAAAGACCAGUUUCCUGUUAAAUUGUCAUUGUUUUCUAGCAGGUCAUGCUUUGUGAGCAAUUUUGACCUUGGACAAAUUACCUGUCUUACCUGGGCCUCUGCUUCCUGAUUUGUAAAAUGAAGAAAUUAGUGUCUACCUUUUGGAAUUGCUGUGAGAAUUAAAUGGUAAUACAUGAAGAAUAUGUUUUGUAAACUAUAAAGCAUUAUACAAAUUAAAGUUAUUACUGCCCAGUGGAAAAAAAAAAACAAUAAGCCAUUGUAAUAAUAAUUUGAUUGAACAAGUGUUUAUUGAGUUCAUACUGUGGGCAAAGCAUGAUCAAAAUAAGAGAAAUAAUUCUAUUCAUCACUGAACUUCAUGCUAUUAAAUUUCCAGCAAGAGAAUCUGCUUGCCCUGCUUCUUUUUAUUACAAACCUGCUGGUGAAAUUAUCUAACCAGAAAGGAAACAAAACCAGCUAAAGCAAUCUUUUUUAAAAUUGUGCCAGCGAUUACAAUGUUGUUCAUUAUUUUCUAACUGUUUUCAAUAAUAUACCAUCCUGCUCAAAAGCUUUGUCUACCGUUAUUGCCAUUUCAGACGUCAUCUGACCUCUUUGCAGAAUAUACAUCUAUAAACUGUCCUUUUCUCAGUGGAAUACACAAAAUGGAGAAACUAAAAAAGUGUUGGAAAGUGGCAAGGAAGAACUAGAGAGGCAUUGGGACUGUCAGGAUUGGAAGUCAGCAUUCUUGUUUGGGCCUGACUCCUCCUGCUCCACCCUGGCUCUGUGACCUUGAAUAGAGCAUAUAUGGGGGCCAAGUCUCCAUUUCUUCUCCAGCAAAAGACAGCAGUUGUAACUUUGUAAAAAUCGACUCAUAAAAUCUUUUGCACUGUAUAAAUGUGAGUUCUUAUUAUGUUGAAUUCCCAAGAAUGUUUAACGUCUUUUGAAAAAUAUUUGUAUUGCAUUUAGAACCAGGAAUUUUUAAAGGCAUGAAGUCAAUGCCAGGGUAACCUUAUGUAUGACAACAAUUGGAGGUCUGUCUGACAUUUAUUGAGUACUUACUAUAUAAUGAAAUAUACUAUAUGUUUUAUAUGUAUUAUCAUAUUUCCUAAUGUUCAUGAGUACUUUAAAAUGAGAGAAUGCCAGCAAUCUUGAAUAACACAUAUACAUUACAAUUUUGUUUGUUUUUGAGAUGGAGUCUUGCUCUGUCACCCAGGCUGGAAUGCAGUGGCACAAUCUCGGCUCACUGCAAACUCCACCUCCUGGGUUCAAGCCAUUCUCCUGCCUCAGCCUCCCCAGUAGCUAGGAUUACAGGCAUGCACCACCACACCCAGCUAAUUUUCGUAUUUUUAGUAGAGACGAGGUUUCACCAUGUUGGCCAGGCUGGUCUCGAACUCCUGACCUCAUGAUCCACCCACCUCGGCCUCCCAAAGUGCUGGGAUUACAGGCGUGAGUCACCACUCCCAGCCUUAAGAUGGUUUUUUAGAAAGAUAUAAAACCCAUGUUAAUAUGGUAAGUCAAAGCAACAGAUCACUGGAGGAAAAUGCCCAGUUUUCCUCAGUAAGUAUGUAUUGAGUUAGAGUCUGUCAUUACUGGAUGACUGCAAAGAGGAAUAAAGCAAGUCCAUGCCCUCAAGAAGCUCACCAUCAGCUCAGAAUGUAAUGAGAGCUGAAUGAGGCCCUUCAAGUGCUUGGAGAGCUCAGUAGAAAUAACUGGUCUUGGAGUCUAUGGAAUCAUUAGUUUUAAUGGCAAAAACCAUAAUUACUUUUGCAACAACCUAAUAGUUCAAGAAGAUUUGGCAUUUCGCCCUUGAAGUUUUUGGCAACAGGCUUCUUUCACUUUUGUUAAAUCCAAUAGAAACCCCACAUAGGUCAAGAGGUGAUGAAUACCAAAUCCACUGGGGCCCAAACAGGGCACUCCUCCAUAAGAUAGACCUCCAUACGACAAUUGCUUUCACCAUCCACUUGUAAAGAUUUGACUCCCACCUCACAUUUAUGGAAAGUUCUUUGAGCAUGUCCAGUGACUCUUUAAGAUUCAGUUUCUAGCCUACUGAGCUGGAAAUGAUUGUGAAAGUUUCAAUAGUCUUAGAUCCUUCUCAUCUCUUUUACAAAACCAGCGUUGGUGACACAUAACAGAUGGUAUGAAAUGGAAGCCUUAUCAGUUGAUUUCACUUAUAAACCAAGUGCAGAUAAAGAUAUAAGGAGGAGAAACAUGGGAAAUGUAAUGCUAAAGAUUUGUGGGAGUGUGUCAACACCAUUUCUAACACCACACUAUGGGAUCUGUGGCAAAUGCAGCGAGACACCAGUUGACAAUAUGAAGGUUAGAAAGCUUUCUCUCAAUCCAUGUUCUGUAUCCUACAGUGGAGCGUCCAGCUCAGAGUUCAGACGAGGCUACGACAAUUGGAGCAGAAGUGGAGAGGGCUCUGAGUUGUGCUUUGUAUCCACACACAGCAGCUGCUCUGCUGCUCAGGUCCAGGGCGGCAUGGCAUUCUCACGUGUGUAGUGAUACUGGGCACUGAAUGGAGUGGGGAGGGAACACGAUUUGGGCAGUUUAUUUUUACGUGCUGAGUUUUUUUCCCCUUUAGCUCCAUAUUGAGAGGUUUUAUCUCUGUGAAGCAGUGCUGAUAAACAGCCUGAUUUGAGAAGCCAAGCAAGAUUUGGGCUGGCAACUUCUGAUGUUUUCAUCAUGGAUAGUAGGAGACAGUUUGGCUGGCAUGGGAAUCACGUGGGGUUCAGCUGCCUCAACACAUUAGGCUGUGAGCCUCAUGGGGAAGGGACCAUGUCAUAGGGGGUGUGUGCUCCUGGGUGUAGCAAGGUGCCUGGUGCAUGCUAGGUGCUUCAGAGACGUUGGGGAAGGAAAGAAUGCAGGACUGGACACCACUACUAUGCUGUAUCUCAUCACUCCAGCGCACCUUAGGAAGAAAGCUCAUAUUUCUUCAUCUUGUCCACUGCUCAGAAUAUACUUCUACUCAACUCUGCCUGUUUCCUGUUUGCCUAUUCAGAUCCUUAUAUCUCUCCUGCUCUGGAACAACUCCUUGACAAUUCCAGCUGCCACUGAUUCCUCUCCUGCCUGAACUAUCAGUCUCUUCUGCAUCCAUCCUUUAGAACCAGGAGAGAAUAGAAACAGAUUCUAGUCUCUAGUUCUUUAAUGGGUUUGUGUCUGUUUCUUGAAAGCAGAGAAUAGGACCUUGUCUUAUAUUUGUUGUGGGGGAUGGGAAGAAUCUAGGGCUAGAAUUGGAAGAUCCAAAUGUGUGACCUGGUUCCUUCCCUUAAUAUUUCUAUUAUCUUCACCAAGUCACAUAACUUGUCUAAGCCUCAGUUUUCUCAUCUUUAAAAUAGGAGAAAAUAGUACUUGUCACAGUAGGGUCAUAAGCGUUAGAUGAGGUUGCUCACGUAAAAAAGUCUGGCAUAAAUUAUAUAUUGUUGUUUCUGUUGUUAUUUAUCCCUGACAGACAUUUGCACUAACUGGGAACUUCAUCUAUUUUUGGUUACUAUUUGUUGAGUGACUGAGGAAAUGAACCAUGGAGAGUAUUUUGCCUUCCAGAAGUGACUUCUAUAACUCAUUUGUAAAUGUUGGCAUUUUGGAGUGGAAAGAAAAAAUGGAUUUAUUUCUUCUAAAUGGAUGAUGCCAUGUAUUUGCAUCACCAGAAAAAGCAGAGACAUUUUUUCCUCCAAUUUUAUUUUUCUUCUUUCACACCUGUGAUUUUUUUUUGUUUGGGAAUAAAAAAUAGGCUCUCCAGGUAGUUUUGUCGCCAUCCAUCCUCUGGAAAGAACUUUAAAUGCUCCCUUUCCCAAAUGCCUUUUAAGCAAUCUGGGCGUCUUGGGCAUGUCUCGCAUGACCUGGUUAUCUUAACUGUCUUCGCAUUCUCUGUGGCUCUCAGUAACAUUUUCAGAAGCUGCAGAUGCCAAAAAACAAUGGCUUAGCCAUGACAUCCAAGGAAAUCAUCAAGGCAUCAUCCACCACUAUAGGUGCCCACAGGUGGCCAUAGGGGUGGUGUUGCUGUCUGUGGAUAGCACUAAUGCCACUUCUGAUGCCCACAAAUAGCUGCCCCUGAGGCCCCAAGGCCCCAUGCGCUGCCUGUUAAUGAUGCCAUUACUGCUGCAACUCUUCCCAAUACCUUGUUUAGGUACCAGCUCCCACUGCUGAGGCUGCCGGCAGCACAGCACCCAAGACUGCACUUUGCACUAGCCAGGUGCUACCCAUUACUUCUGGAAAAUGGCCCUUUUUUGUUUCAUUUUGGUUUUAUUCAUCCAUGCAAUUGCAGCUGCUCUCCCAUGGGACAUAGGACAGUCGGGGUGGGGAUGCUGUGCAGAAUCACCCUCAGCACACCCGCUGAUCCUGGCUCAUUAUCUUUGAUUCAGAAAGGUACACUUGGCUUCACUCUCCCCUCGGAAUGCAUCUUCUUCCUGGAGGUUCCUUGGUUUCUCCUGCAUAUAACCCGCCUGAGUCCUAGAGUGAGCCCAGCCUGAACUCAGGGUGGGGAACCUGCUACAUUCCUGACUGGUCAGUCUGCCCACCUGCUGGAGAACUUAUGAGCAUCAUCACCUGUGUGAAAAAGUCAGGGAAUAGAUUCUGCCUCACAGAUUAAAAACUAGGUUGGUACGUUGGCUUGCUUCUGGCUCUUCUGGCCAAUUAGGUGAUCCUGGCUUUCCCACAAACAGAAGUGACCUCGCGAUUUCAGGUCUCAUCAUGUGCACUGUGACAGACAAGCAUAUGUACCAAUGUGAGUUGCCUUGGCUUUGCCAAAAAAGUGCCCCUUGACUGAACCAAUUAUUUUCCCUUUUCCAAAAUACAGUUUUGUCUGCAAUCCUUUAUUUCUAACACUACUUCUGAAUGGAACAUAUUGUUAUGCAUGGCAGGGAUGGGGAGCAAAUGGGAGGAAUUUGGAGAAAGAGCCAUUUUCCUCCCCUAAUGGUGAAAAGUAUUUUUUCUAACAAGCACUGUUCUCGGUAGUUGUAGCCUAGAGAGCCUUAUCCUUUCCAUCAUCUUCUUGUCUGCAGCAGCCACGAUAUAACAACGUUUCCCCUGACAGGAGCUCAGGCAAGCCACUGUGUCCUGGAAGAGAGCCAACCUGGCAUGCUGGCCAGUUGGCACCACCUGCCUCCAUGCAAGAAGCCAGCACUGUGCCUCGUCCCCAGAGAUAUCAGCCCUGUAAUGCCCAGCUCGUGCCAACAGGAACCUUGGAAUACAUAUUUUCCUUUAAAAAGAGAGAUGAGAGUUCCUAUUCUAUCUCAUGAUUUGUGCAGUUUAUAUGAUCAUGAUUUUGGAUUUUCAGAGAGGGUGGGGAGGGAAAUUAUAUUUUAUAGAUUAGCUAUAUAGGGUGGUCCAGCCCCAUAUUGCUGGAUUUGCUGGGUAUGUUAAACUAUAGCCUUCCUCCUCUCUGCUCUUAAGCCAAACAGCUCCUAGCUUUUUCUGCUCUAAAACCAAAGUGGGCUGUUUGUUUUUGUUGCAAUCUUUCAUUUUGCUCCUAUCGGGCAUCUGUUAAUAUCUCUGAGCUGUGGACCCUAUGGAAACCUUGAUAUGUCUGCAUGCUCCACCUGGUGCUACGCCUAGGUCAGUCAGUGGGAAGUCAGACCAUGCGGGGCAUGCAGCAUCUCAACCACAGGGGUCUGGUGUGCAGUUUUAAGUGUCACUCUUGUUGCUGACAUUUUUCUAUCCUUCUGCAGAGACGAUUAUCGGAAAUGGUUUAUUGCCCUCUGGGAAUAUGGGAAGCAGCAUCAGACAGGAAUUCUGGGCCAUGCUGCUUUUUUUUUUUUUUUUUUUUUUUUUUUUUUUUUUUUUGGAGUACAGUGGUAUGAUCUCAGCUCACUGCAACCUCUGCCCCUCGGGCUCAAGCAGUCCUCUCACCUCAGCCUCCCAAGUAGCUGAGAUCACAGAUGCUUGCCACCACACCUGGCCAUUUUUUUCUUUCUUGUAUUUUUGGUAGAGAUGGAGUUUCACCAUGUUGCCCAAGCUGGUCUUGAACUCCUGAGCUCAGGUGAUCCACUUGCCUUAGCCUCCCAAAGUGCUGGGAUUACAGGCUUGAGCCACCGCACCUCGCUCCGUGCUGCUUAUUGUAUACAGUUUUCUGUUUUUUACCACCUGUAACUCCACCCAUUAAGGCAGUUUGUGCAGAGUCCCUGGCCCUUAGUACAGUGUUCACUGUGGCCGACUGGGUCUAGACCAGUGGUUCUAGCUCUAGUUGCAAGGGAGGAUCUUCCGGGGCUUUUAAAUUAUACUGAUGCCCAUGAUCCAUCUCAGACCAGUUACAUCAGACUUGCCGGGUGGGACCAGGGUGGCCCGGGCCUCAGGAAUUUUUAAAGCUCCCCAGGUGCUUUUCCUGUUCAGUGCAUGUUACUGUUCUUCGGUUUAUAUAAAUUCUCUGACAGAUGGACACCUCAUAUGAGAGCAUAUGUGUGAUUUUUCCUGUCAUGGUAAUGGACGACUGACUGACUAUGGCAAAAGGCCUCCAUUUUAUGGUUUGUUUAGUUAAUAGAAGUGAUAUAUUUAUGCUCAUUUAUGCUCUCAUCUGGUCCCCUUUGACCCAUCCCAUUACUCACUUUUAUUUUGUUUUUUUUUUGGAGAUGGAGUCUGGCUCUGUUGCCCAUGCUGGAGUGCAGUGGCGUGAUCUCGGCUGACUGCAACCUCUGCCUCCCGGGUUCAAGCAAUUCUCCUGCCUCAGCCUCCCGAGUAGCUGGGAUUACAGGCACACGCUACCACGCCCAGCUCAUUUUUUGUAUUUUAGUAGAGACGGGGUUUCACCGUGUUGCCCAGGCUGGUCUUGAACUCCUGAGCUCAGGCAAUCCCCCCCACCUCGGCCUCCCAAACUGCUGGGAUUACAGGCAUGAGCCACCGUGCCUAGCCAACCCAUAACUCACUUUUGCGAAAUAGCUGGCUGAGGUUAAAGAUGUCAUCCUUGGAGAAUAGAACUGAAUGCAGGUCCACAUUGGGCCAAGACCUUCUGUCUUAUUCUCAUUAGUACAGUCCUCUAAAACAGUGGCUGAAGUUUCACAUUGCAAAUGUAAUCCUCUCGAAACCCUGAUCAAGAAAUAACAUCUCUUUUUAAGUAUGACCUUGAUUACAGCAAAGAACAAGAGUGCCUCAGAAGAAUGACUACAAGAGCCAGAACAAGAUUGAAUAGAAUCAGAAUUGACGUUCCUAAGCUAACUUUAAAAGUGAAAAAAAAAAAAAUUAAGAAAGACAUGUGAGAGGUUAAACCCCAAACCUGACAGUGUACUUUUAAAAUGUCCUGCAGAACCUGGCAGUCUUCCUCAGCACCCUGGUUUUUGCCCCAACACCCUAGCAAAGUCACCUUUCUUUCUAAACUACUAGUUGAAGGGCCAAGUCUCAAAAUAAGAAGAUGCUGCUGUGCAUAGCUACUUGGACUUGAUUUAGAACAUGAUGCCAGCAAAGAUGGAUACAGGUACCCUGACUCCAGCUUUCUUGAUUUGGGUGAAGCAAUUACAAAGGAGAGUUCACGCUAAAAAUAGGAAGUUGUUAUUCAACCAUUCUACGAAGGCAGAAAAGAAAAUCUAAUAAAUUUGACCUUCAAUGAGCUGCAAUUUCAACUCUAACAGGGCUUCGUGGGCUUGAUAAUAUUGUUAGCUUUAUUUGUUCCAGAAUGUAUAAGGCCAGCAAAGGCCAGCCUUGGAAUUGUGUCUUAUUAUCUCUCCUUAUGCGCAGUUUCCUGUGUCCUUCCCACCCCCUUCCCAGGGUAUGUCUGUAUUAUCACUUUUGCACAUAAACCUAAAGAUUAAAGACAGUGUUUGUUUUGAAGGAGGAUAGGAAGAUCAAGGAUAAAGAGAAAACAUGUUUGUAUGUAUAUGCACAUAACAUUCACAGGGCAUUCUAACAGCCAAUCUCUAAGUAUCAUCAGUAACAGGAAAAUUCUUUUAAGUGAUAAUCUUAUAAACUGAUUACAGGUCACUGCUCACGUGAAUGUAUGCCUGAGGCUACAUCCCUAAUGUGAAGCAAAGUAUAAGAUACAAGAAACCUAAACAUACACCUUUUCAUCCAUGGACAAAUAAUUGCCGAACAUCUUGCUUAACACACAUAAUUCACCUUAUGAAUAGAAAUGUAAAACAGAAA